ensembl:snRNA U1 U1 spliceosomal RNA
AUACUUACCUGGCAGGGGAGAUGCCAUGAUCACGAGAGUGGUUUUCCCAGGGUGAGUCUUAUCCAUUGCACUCUGGAUGUGCUGAAUCCUGCAAUUUUCCCAAAUGUGGGAAACUCGACUGUAUAAUUUGUGGUAGUGGGGGACUGCAUUCAUU